AAUCUUUUGAAAAACUGAUUAAUCGGACGAGAAUAAAGAUAGAGUCCCGU
rnacentral:tRNA from 16 species